UUUAAUGAAGAGUUUGAUCCUGGCUCAGGACGAACGCUGGCGGCGCGCCUAACACAUGCAAGUCGAGCGGAACUAUUUCUUCUGAAGUUUUCGGAUUGACGAAGAUUUAGUUUAGCGGCGAACGGGUGAGUAACACGUGAGUAACCUGCCUUUCACAGGGGGACAACAGUUAGAAAUGACUGCUAAUACCGCAUAAGACCACGCUAUGGCAUCAUAGAGAGGUCAAAGGAGCAAUCCGGUGAAAGAUGGGCUCGCGUCCGAUUAGCUAGUUGGUGAGGUAAUGGCUCACCAAGGCAACGAUCGGUAGCCGGACUGAGAGGUUGAACGGCCACAUUGGGACUGAGACACGGCCCAGACUCCUACGGGAGGCAGCAGUGGGGAAUAUUGCACAAUGGGGGAAACCCUGAUGCAGCGACGCCGCGUGAAGGAAGAAGGUCUUCGGAUUGUAAACUUCUGUCUUUGGGGACGAUAAUGACGGUACCCAAGGAGGAAGCACCGGCUAACUACGUGCCAGCAGCCGCGGUAAAACGUAGGGUGCAAGCGUUGUCCGGAAUUACUGGGUGUAAAGGGAGCGCAGGCGGAAAGGUAAGUUGGGAGUGAAAACUAUGGGCUCAACCCAUAGAUUGCUUUCAAAACUAUCUUUCUUGAGUAGUGUAGAGGUAGGCGGAAUUCCCGGUGUAGCGGUGGAAUGCGUAGAUAUCGGGAGGAACACCAGUGGCGAAGGCGGCCUACUGGGCACUAACUGACGCUGAGGCUCGAAAGCAUGGGUAGCAAACAGGAUUAGAUACCCUGGUAGUCCAUGCCGUAAACGAUGAUUACUAGGUGUGGGAGGAUUGACCCCUUCCGUGCCGCAGUUAACACAAUAAGUAAUCCACCUGGGGAGUACGACCGCAAGGUU
rnacentral:rRNA from 1 species